GUGACAAAGUCAGGUUUCUUCCAUCAGAACUGACCGUCUGAAUGAAGAAGUAACGGACUGGUAAAACUGCGUCGGGGUCCAACCCUGGACCCCAAACGAGACAUCUCUCCGGACUGAUCCCAUCACACUCCGAAAUCGCACAUAAUCUUGACUCUUCACCACACCAACUGUACUAAAGAAAGAGUUUUUCCAGAUUUGGCAGACAAGCAUUACGGAUCAUAGGUGCAGGUCCGCAGAGGACGAUGAGGACAUCUCUGGACGCAGCGGGAAUGUGGUCCUUAAUCAUGUCAUGGGUCACAUAGCCUGAACCGUAGCUCCAGU